CAGGGAUGUUGCCAUGUGACCUGCCAGAGGAUGCUAGAACUUCUAUUUCCAGAGUUACAACUGGAAGAUCAUAGGUUCACUUCAGUCGCCAUACUGACCAUGUUGUUCAGCCUGUUGGGAAAUAGACUUUCUUGCAUAUGGAAAUGACAGCACUUGUCUGAAGUCGAGCUAAGCCUUUACUUCUGCACAAGGCAAAAUAAAUCACACAAGAAUCAUUAAUGUAUGUUUAAAACCUAACAGACAACAGAAGACUCAGAAUUGGUACAAAUAAAAGUCUAAUCUAUAAUCAAGACUCUCACAUUUACAAAAGAAAG